rnacentral:rRNA from 1 species
UACGAGGGGGGCGAGCGUUGUUCGGAUUUACUGGGCGUAAAGGGCGCGUAGGCGGCAAUUCAAGUCAUCUGUGAAAUCUCCGGGCUUAACUCGGAAUGGUCAGGUGAUACUGCUUUGCUAGAGUGCAGAAGGGGCAAUCGGAAUUCUUGGUGUAGCGGUGAAAUGCGUAGAUAUCAAGAGGAACACCUGAGGUGAAGACGGGUUGCUGGGCUGACACUGACGCUGAGGCGCGAAAGCUAGGGGAGCAAACGGG